rnacentral:tRNA from 1 species
GGUGCGCAAGGCUUACAAUAGCAGCUUAAAUCAACGUAAAGCGCGGGUACGGGAAACUUGAAAACUAGCAAGGGGGUAACCCCUUCCAGGGUUCGAAUCCCUGACCCACCGCCA